UACGGAGGGUGCAAGCGUUAAUCGGAAUUACUGGGCGUAAAGCGCGCGUAGGCGGUUUAUUAAGUCAGAUGUGAAAGCCCCGGGCUCAACCUGGGAAUGGCAUUUGAGACUGGUAGGCUAGAGUAUGGUAGAGGUGAGUGGAAUUUCAGGUGUAGCGGUGAAAUGCGUAGAGAUCUGAAGGAACAUCAGUGGCGAAGGCGACUCACUGGGCCAUUACUGACGCUGAGGUGCGAAAGCGUGGGGAG
rnacentral:rRNA from 1 species